rnacentral:misc_RNA from 1 species
GAUGAAGAACUCAGCGAAAUGCGAUAAGUAAUGUGAAUUGCAGAAUUCAGUGAAUCAUCGAAUCUUUGAACGCACAUUGCGCCCGCCAGCAUUCUGGCGGGCAUGCCUGUUCGAGCGUCAUUUCAACCCUCGAGCCCCCCCGGGGGCCUCGGUGUUGGGGGACGGCACACCAGCCGCCCCCGAAAUGCAGUGGCGACCCCGCCGCAGCCUCCCCUGCGUAGUAGCACACACCUCGCACCGGAGCGCGGAGGCGGUCACGCCGUAAAACGCCCAACUUUCUUAGAGUUGACCUCGGAUCAGGUAGGAAUACCCGCUGAACUUAAGCAUAUCAAUAAGCGGAGGA